GGCUCAAUGGUCUAGUGGUAUGAUUCGCGCUUCGGGCGGUUCUUUGGAAUUCCCUUACUUGGAAACAAGUAGAUAAGCAUGUGCGAGGUCUCGGGUUCGAAUCCCGAUUGAGCCC